UCUUAUCGAGAGUGGUCGAGGGACAGGCCCGAUGACACCCGGCAACCAAGCUGUAAGGUAUUGGUGCUAAAUCCUGCAAGAAAAAAUCUUGGAAGAUGAGA
rnacentral:ncRNA from 1 species